AACGAACGCUGGCGGCGUGGAUAAGACAUGCAAGUCGAACGCUGAUUUGUUGAUAGCAAUAUUGACAAGUUGGAGUGGCGCAAGGGUGUGUAACACGUAGGUAAUUUGCCUUGAGGUUUGGGAUAACCCGAAGAAAUUUGGGCUAAUACCAAAUGUGGCGCGAGUCCGGCAUCGGGCUUUCGCCAAAGCUGGGGAUCGCA
rnacentral:rRNA from 1 species